GACAGAGGUCCCGAGCGUUAGGCGGAAUCACUGGGCCUAAAGCGUGUGUAGGCGGAUUUGUAAGUACCUUGUGAAAUCCCACGGCUUAACCGUGGAACUGCUUGGUAUAUUGCUUAUCUUGGGCCAUCUAGGGGCUACUGGAACAAACGGUGGAGCGGUGAAAUGCGUAGAUAUCGUUUGGAACGCCAAUGGUGAAAACAAGUAGCUGGGGAUGUGCCGACACUGAGACACGAAAGCCAGGGGAGCAAACGGG
rnacentral:rRNA from 1 species